rnacentral:lncRNA from 1 species
AGGUGGAUCAAAUGAGCAAAUGAUAGGUGAAAGCAGUGAAGACACUAUCUAGAGUUAUGAGAUUGUUAUUACUAGAACUAGUGGGUUCUUCGUCGUAUGCAAUAAUAUGUUUACGCUACCUGGUUUUCUGAAACUUAUCGAAUAUAUGAGCCUGAAUUAAUGUUUCUUGUCAAUGGAUGGUGAAGAUGAAUCUGACUUGCUUUUCCUAGCUAUAGUUGUAAAAGCCCUCUUAAAAAUAUGGUCGUUUAGCAUUAUUGUGAUUUAUUCCUUCGGGGGUUAGCUCAAUUGGCAAAGAUUGAGGGACCUGUGUCUUAGGUCACAGGUUGGAGUCCUGUGUUAAGCGAACUAUGGUAUUUAAGUGGAGUAGGAUAGAGGAGAUCUCAUCAUCCCGAGUUUCGAAAGCAUUAUUGUGAUUUAUUUUAGAAGUAAUGAAUCGAUUGCCAGUAAGUCUUAGCAGGGAACGGUUUGUGUGUGGCUUUGAUAGAUACAUUCAGGGGGGAUAUGACAGACUACAGAGUUGCACCUCGGGGACAAAAUAAUUAUGGUCGGUGCUCCUAAAAUACAUGAUUAUCGUCGCUGCCCCCAAGCUAUGAAGGUAUGAGGAAAUCACGCAAAAUAAUUAUGGUCGGUGCUCCUAAAAUACAUGAUUAUCGUCGCUGCCCCCAAGCUAUGAAGGUAUGAGGAAAUCACGCAAAAUUCCGACGACAGUGACUGCUUUCGACGGUAAAUUUGUAUGGAUGGUAUUUAGUAUUAGCAUUUGGAAUAUAUUCGGAGUUGUGCAAAAACUAAAAAGAUAAUGUUUGGAGUUAUCAACAAAAUCAAGCUUCUUGGAAUCCUCUUUUUAUAUUAAGUGUCACCAUUAUG